UAGAAAUUGUAUUUAUUUAGAUUACAAUAGUACUUGCAACGUAAAAUACAGCACAUAUUAAUCAACAACAAUUCCAGUUACAUCAGAAGCAUUAAUAUAAUAAGACGUGGAUAUCGAUCAAUAUUCCAAUUAAAUUAUAUAACGAACAAUAAGAAUUUUUUUAAUUCACUAAAUAAUGGAAAAAAGCACCUAGAUUUAAAAAUCGUAUGUUAUGAAAAUGAACUUACACGUCGUGGAAAUAGUAGCAAUGUGAAUUGAAAUCAAUAAAAUGAACUCUUGAACUGUGAUUACAGCAAAUUGUAGUUGCAUGCUCUGAAAAUGAGAUCUGCAUUUUUCAUUGAGUUAUUUUUAACAAAUAAUAGAUCGUGUUUUUUUAAAUUGUCUUUUCUUUUCAAUUUUUUAUGUAUAUUUUAUGUCAUUGAAACCUUUACACUGCAUAAUUCUAUUGGAACUAAUAACUUACAAGAAGUAAAUACAAGUUUGGAUUUUGUUAUCAAUCCUAAGUCUCAUCACUACGGUGAAUUUAGCGUUAUAAAUGACAUUAUUGAUAACAAAAAUUUUAACAAUAAUCAUAACAACGACAGCAAAAUUAUUAGUAAUAACAAUAAUAAUAAUAAUAAUAAUAACAAUAAUAAUAAUCAUAGAAAUGGUAAUAAUAAGAACAGUACUGAUGAUUAUAAUACUUUCAACAAAAAUGUCAACAGAAAUUAUAUAUUCCCAAACGGAAAGAACAAGGGAAAAAAAGCUUCCAUCAAAUCUAAUGACCUACUUCAAAGCCCUAAGGAAUAUGAAAUAUUUACAAUCGAAUUUCAUCGAGUAGAAACCCCAUUUAUCAUUGGAAUUUGGAUUUUAUUUGCAAGUGCUGCUAAAAUAGGAUUUCAUAUGACACCAAAGUUAAGUAGAAUAUUUCCAGAGUCAUGUUUACUUAUUGUAGUAGGUGUUAUUGUGGGACUAUUUUUAUUUCAAACUAGCAAUGUUCAUAUAUCACCACUAACACCAGAUACAUUUUUCUUAUAUAUGUUACCGCCUAUAAUUCUCGAUGCUGGAUAUUUUAUGCCAAAUAGAUUAUUUUUUGAUCACCUUGGUACUAUCUUGUUAUUUGCAGUCAUUGGUACGAUUUUAAAUACGUUAUCAAUCGGAAUAUCACUAUGGCUGAUUGGCAACAGUGGCAUUUUCUCAUGUGAUACACCAAUACUUGACAUGUUUUUAUUUGCGGCUUUGAUAAGUGCGGUAGAUCCUGUGGCAGUUCUUGCAGUAUUUGAAGAAAUACACGUCAAUGAAGUAUUGUAUAUUGUAGUAUUCGGCGAGAGUCUUUUAAAUGAUGCUGUUACAGUGGUACUAUAUCAUAUGUUUGAAACAUACAGUGAAAUGGGUCCUCAAAGAAUUUCGUACUAUGAUAUUCUCGCUGGAUUUGCCUCAUUUCUUGUGGUAGCAAUUGGAGGAACGAUUAUUGGAGUUAUUUGGGGGUUUGCCACGAGUUUCAUUACAAGAUUUACAAAUCAAGUCAGAGUUAUUGAACCUAUAUUCAUAUUUGUUAUGGCAUACUUAGCUUAUUUGAGUGCCGAACUUUUUCAUAUGUCGGGCAUUUUAGCUAUCACAUUUUGUGGAAUAACAAUGAAAAAUUAUGUGGAAGCUAAUAUUUCUUAUAAAUCACAUACAACAGUCAAAUAUACGAUGAAGAUGCUCUCAAGCAGUUCAGAAACAAUAAUUUUUAUGUUUCUCGGGGUUGCAACUGUGAAUAACAAACACAAUUGGAAUACUAUUUUUAUUCUGACAACUAUUAUACUAUGUUCAAUCUAUAGAAUAAUUAGUGUUGCUGUUUUGACUGCUUUAGCAAAUCAGUUUCGACUUCAUAAGUUAACUAGUGUGGAAAAGUUUGUAAUGUCGUAUGGAGGCUUACGAGGUGCUGUUGCAUUCGCUUUGGUUUUAUUAAUCAAUGCAGAAAAUGUUCCACUACAACCUAUGUUUAUGACCACUACUAUAACUGUCAUAUAUUUCACGGUAUUCUUCCAGGGUAUAACAAUAAAACCAUUAGUUAAAUUUUUGAAUGUCAAAAGAGCAGAAAAAAGGAAGCCUACAAUGAACGAGCGUCUUCAUGAAAAGAUUAUUGAUCACAUUAUGGCUGGAGUUGAAGAUAUUCUAGGAAAGCAUGGAAAUUAUCAUGUUCGCGAUAAAUUCAAACGUUUUGACAAUCAGUACAUUCGACCUUAUGUGGUGAGAAAUUAUUACGGAGCUGAACCAAAAAUAUUGGAAACUUAUUCAAAAUUAACAAUGAAAGAUGCCAUGGAAUACAUAAGAAGAAAUGCUUCAACACUCGGAAAUAUAAAUCAUAUCGACAGUAUGUCUGCUAUUUUUCGUACUUCAAGCAAUCCUGGUCAAUUCAACCAAAGUCCAAGUGUAUGUCAAUCUGAGUUUGGUUGGAAUAUAGAUUUUCAAGAGUUAGAAUACAAUCCAUCAAAAAAAGACUUAACAGAUGCCAGAAUACACCAUCUACUUGCAGAAGAAUUAUGUAAACCGCAUAAGCGUCAUAGAAGACUAAGUUAUAGUCGUCAUACAGUUGAUGAUCGUGACUUAAAUACGCAGAUAAAUUAUAAAAUGCAUAUGAAUAUACGACGAAUGAUGGGAGAGCAUAGACAUAGAUCAAGGCGCAGUAAAAAAAUUAACAAGGAUACUCGGAGUAAUCACGUAAGCUUUCCGGAGCCAGAUGAUUGUAAUAUUGAUGACAUAUCGAGGACAAGUAGAGAUUUAUACGAUUUUAUCAAGUAUGAUUCUGAUAUUGAUAAUCAGCAAAAUUCAGAAGCAAAAGAUGACUGGGAUACUGCAAUAACGUUUACAGCUAAAUCUCUAGGCGAAUCAUGCAAGGACGUUACUCCUACCGUUACUGAAACUGUGCUACCUUGGAAAAGAGAAGAAGACAUGAAUUCUGUAAAACCUAUGAAACAGAAUGAAUUUCCGCCCUGGUGCUCCAAUAAAGAUUAUUUAAUCUACCAUUCUCCUUGCACAACGUUUUUAGGCACUGUCGCCACAUUUUUACUGAUGGAGGAUUUUAAGGUGUAGAAAUCAUCCUGAUAGAUAAAAAGAAAUUCAAACAUUUACAAUAGACAUAACUUGGUGUUGCGGCUUCAGCGACUUGUUAAAGGUCUACUGCACUAUAUUGUACUGUAGGUAUUCUACAUUCUACAGUACAGUGAAGUGGUUGUCACAUUUGUUUGCUGCUAAAUUAUAUAUUGUAAUAUAUAUUGUAAUAUUAAUAUUUAUUAAAAGCUUGUACUAUAAAUUGAAUAAAUAACCAA